rnacentral:snRNA from 1 species
GUUGCUUCUCAGCCUUUUGGCUGAGAUUGAGGGUUCUUACCAGUUUAAUAUCUGAUAUGUCCCUCUAUUCGAGGACAACAUAUUAAAUGGAUUUCUGGAGCAGGAAAAUGGAAUACGUGCUUGCUUCAUCCCCACUCCACACAUCAACCUGGUACUGCAGUAUCUCCAGGAAUGGUGCAUUCCCA